rnacentral:lncRNA from 1 species
CUCGACCUGUCCUUACUUAUUGAAGUUGGAUACUUAUGAACUUAUUGCAACACGCGGAAUGUGAACUACAGGGAAUAAUUAGCCAAUGAGGUAUCGAGAUAGAAUAAUUAGCCAAUGGUAUAUCGAGGCAUAACAGCAUUGAGUUCAAAAGCAGAUGGGUGCCCACCCCAAGGGCAGGUGCAAUGGGGUAUAUCGAGGCAUAACAGCAUUGAGUUCAAAAGCAGAUGGGUGUCUACCCCGGAAAGUCCAAAUCAGAGAAUUUAGUGAAAAAUCAUAUAUGCACCCCGAAGUAAGCGUAAGUCCGGAGUCUUGCACCGAAGCAACCCUUUUCCUUCUGAUUGAAUUGCAAACAAGAAUAUUGACUGUUUUAUUACUUAGUGCAGA